AUUGAACGCUGGCGGCAGGCCUAACACAUGCAAGUCGAACGGUAACAGGAAACAGCUUGCUGUUUCGCUGACGAGUGGCGGACGGGUGAGUAAUGUCUGGGAAACUGCCUGAUGGAGGGGGAUAACUACUGGAAACGGUAGCUAAUACCGCAUAACGUCGCAAGACCAAAGAGGGGGACCUUCGGGCCUCUUGCCAUCGGAUGUGCCCAGAUGGGAUUAGCUAGUAGGUGGGGUAACGGCUCACCUAGGCGACGAUCCCUAGCUGGUCUGAGAGGAUGACCAGCCACACUGGAACUGAGACGCGGUCCAGACUCCUACGGGAGGCAGCAGUGGGGAAUAUUGCACAAUGGGCGCAAGCCUGAUGCAGCCAUGCCGCGUGUAUGAAGAAGGCCUUCGGGUUGUAAAGUACUUUCAGCGGGGAGGAAGGGAGUAAAGUUAAUACCUUUGCUCAUUGACGUUACCCGCAGAAGAAGCACCGGCUAACUCCGUG
rnacentral:rRNA from 1 species